CAUUUGCAAUACUCAAAACUUUAAUGCUAUAUCUGCGAUACCCUAAUUAACCCACACCUCCAAUCUCCUUCUCCAAUAUUCAUCAAACGCCACCAACCUCCUAUUUCCCCUUCCUUCACGAAAUCCUUUUGCAAUACCCAGAACUCCAAUGCCACCAUUAAGGAGAUGCUUCAGCUUCCAGAUCUGGGUCGAAAGAACAUCAGGCUUGCAGAGAACGAUGACGUGGUGGUAGCGGGCGAGAUUGACGACCUGAAGCGCGGAUCUGAACCUCGCACGAUGAAGGCGUCAGUUUAGUGGUGACAUAUCUCAACCUCGCGCGAUGGUCACUGCAAGCCGUUUGAAGCGCUGGAUCUUUGGUUGGUGCCUAUGGUGUUGUGAUGAUAGCAGAAUGGAUAUAUCUGAGGCGGAGGAUCUGGAGCUUUCAUGGAGAUCUCAGGCUGCAUAUGUGAAAAAUCUAAAAAAUUGGUGUUCCGUUUUUUUUUUUGUUAAAAUAGAACUCUGCAUCUCUGAUUUGAUAUAUUUUCCACUUUGUCCUCUGUUAAUCUCGAAAUAGAAUUGAAUCGUAGUUUCAUAUUUGUUUUUUGCUAGAACAAGGAAUAAAUCAUGUAAAGUAAAGGGAUGGUGUGAUUUUUAUUUCCUAUGAAGACACUCAAUCUCUGGAUUUGAAAGAGUA
rnacentral:lncRNA from 1 species